rnacentral:lncRNA from 1 species
CACUCUUAAUCCCUUGUUAAUCUUGAGCGUGACAUAAGUUUUCAGGCUAGCACUCCACAGGAUGAUGAGUGAUGAACAGGGAUGUUUCAGCUUGUUUAUCCAUCUCCAGAACAACGCUGAGGUGCAACUCGACUGCAGUUCUGUGGCUUUCCCCAUCUUAAUCCUCUGGAGCAGCAGAGGCUGGAUUCUUGCUGCUGAUGCCCUUGUUGAGCACUGGAUUACUUUUCAUCAUAUUUCUUUAAGCUUUUACCCACUCCACCCUAGAUUAACAUCCCUCCUUUC